AGAAGAGGGUGCUCAUGACAUACCCAAGAGCCAAGCUUCGGCUUGUCAUAAAACCUUGGCAGAAGUCAUUUUCAGCUUAAGGCAGCUAAACCAUUUUUGUUUCAUAAUUACCAGAAGAAACCUUUGGGUCCAUUUAAAUUCAAACCUGUUUGUUACAGAUGAAGAAAUGGAGGCUCCAAGUGGUCAAGUGACAUUUCAAAGCUCCAGAGUGCUGCAAUUACAAGUCUACAACCCCACCCCUCAUGGAUGGAUAUCCUUCCAAAAUGUGAGCAUGAAAAAUUUUAGAAGUGUGUGUGUGUGUGUGUGUGUGUGUGU